CCAGCCCGUUUUCCAGAGGUCU
rnacentral:miRNA from 1 species